rnacentral:rRNA from 1 species
GAUGAACGCUGGCGGCGUGCCUAAUACAUGCCAGUCGAGCGAACGGACGAGAAGCUUGCUUCUCUGAUGUUAGCGGCGGACGGGUGAGUAACACGUGGAUAACCUACCUAUAAGACUGGGAUAACUUCGGGAAACCGUAGCUAAUACCGGAUAAUAUUUUGAACCGCAUGGUUCAAAAGUGAAAGACGGUCUUGCUGUCACUUAUAGAUGGAUCCGCGCUGCAUUAGCUAGUUGGUAAGGUAACGGCUUACCAAGGCAACGAUGCAUAGCCGACCUGAGAGGGUGAUCGGCCACACUGGAACUGAGACACGGUCCAGACUCCUACGGGAGGCAGCAGUAGGGAAUCUUCCGCAAUGGGCGAAAGCCUGACGGAGCAACGCCGCGUGAGUGAUGAAGGUCUUCGGAUCGUAAAACUCUGUUAUUAGGGAAGAACAUAUGUGUAAGUAACUGUGCACAUCUUGACGGUACCUAAUCAGAAAUCCACGGCUAACUACGUG